GGGCCCAUAGUUCAGUGGUAGAACAUGGCUUUCGCAUAGCUAAAACGCCGGUUCGACUCCGGUUGGGUCCA
rnacentral:tRNA from 1 species